rnacentral:tRNA from 1 species
GGUUGUGGCUCAGUGGUAGAGUGCUUACCUAGCAUGUAUGAGCUACUGGAUUCGAUCCCCAGAACCA